GCGACGUAGUGCAAUGGUUUAGCGCAUGCCCUCGGAAAGAGAGAGAUCUGGGUUCGAAUCCCGGAUGACGCA